GACGAACGCUGGCGGCGUGCUUAACACAUGCAAGUCGAGCGGAGCGGCGAACGGGUGAGUAAAGCGUGAGUAACUGCCCCCCUCUCUGGGAUAACAGGUGGAAACGGCUGCUAAUACCGGUUAGGUGGGGAUGAUUCGCGUCCUAUCAGCUUGUUGGUGGGGUAGUGGCCUACCAAGGCGACGACGGGUCGCCGGCCUGAGAGGGCGACCGGCCACAUGGGGCUGGGUGACGAGCCAAACUCCUUCUGGAGGAAGCAGUGGGGAUGAUUGCGCGAUGGGCGAAACCCUGAUGGAGCAUCGCCGCGUGCGGGAUGACGGCCUUCGGGUUGUAAACCGCUUUCAGCCAUGACGCGGUAGUGGCAGAAGAAGCACCGGCUAACUACGUGCCAGCAGCCGCGGUAAUUC
rnacentral:rRNA from 1 species